rnacentral:pre_miRNA from 1 species
AGGCAGUGUAGUUUAGCUGGCUGCUUGCUAUUAAAUCCAGCAGUCGCUAAUACUCUGCCAC